AACGAACGCUGGCGGCAGGCUUAACACAUGCAAGUCGAGCGCCCCGCAAGGGGAGCGGCAGACGGGUGAGUAACGCGUGGGAAUCUACCCAUCUCUACGGAACAACUCCGGGAAACUGGAGCUAAUACCGUAUACGUCCUUUUGGAGAAAGAUUUAUCGGAGAUGGAUGAGCCCGCGUUGGAUUAGCUAGUUGGUGGGGUAAUGGCCUACCAAGGCGACGAUCCAUAGCUGGUCUGAGAGGAUGAUCAGCCACACUGGGACUGAGACACGGCCCAGACUCCUACGGGAGGCAGCAGUGGGGAAUAUUGGACAAUGGGCGAAAGCCUGAUCCAGCCAUGCCGCGUGAGUGAUGAAGGCCCUAGGGUUGUAAAGCUCUUUCAACGGUGAAGAUAAUGACGGUAACCGUAGAAGAAGCCCCGGCUAACUUCGUGCCAGCCGCCGCAGUAA
rnacentral:rRNA from 1 species